UACGUAGGGGGCUAGCGUUGUCCGGAAUCAUUGGGCGUAAAGAGCGCGUAGGCGGCUAGAUAAGUCCGGUGUGAAAGUCACAGGCUCAACCUGUGAAUGCCGCUGGAAACUGUCUGGCUAGAGUUCGGGAGAGGUGAGUGGAACUGCGAGUGUAGAGGUGAAAUUCGUAGAUAUUCGCAAGAACACCAGUGGCGAAGGCGGCUCACUGGCCCGAUACUGACGCUGAGGCACGAAAGCGUGGGGAGCAAACAGG
rnacentral:rRNA from 1 species